AUUAUAAAUAAGAUAAUAAUUAUUUAAUAUAAUUAUAAAUAUAAAAUUAAUUAUAUUAUAUUAAAAAUUUAAAUUAUAUAAUUUUACAUAUAGAUACUGCUUUAUAAGUAUCAAAAUUAGAUACAUAUUAAAAAAAAUCAUGUAAAAUUCUCCUCGUCAUCCUUUUCCUACUCCUGUACGUCCUCUCCAGCAGCUGAUAG
rnacentral:lncRNA from 1 species